UACGGAGGGUGCAAGCGUUAUCCGGAUUCACUGGGUUAAAGGGUGCGUAGGCGGGUAAGUAAGUCCGUGGUGAAAUCUCUGAGCUUAACUCAGAAACUGCCGUGGAUACUAUUUGCCUUGAAUAUUGUGGAGGUGAGCGGAAUAUGUCAUGUAGCGGUGAAAUGCUUAGAUAUGACAUAGAACACCAAUUGCGAAGGCAGCUCACUACACAAUCAUUGACGCUGAGGCACGAAAGCGUGGGGAUCAAACAGG
rnacentral:rRNA from 1 species